GUAGGGAAUCUUGCGCAAUGGGCGAAAGCCUGACGCAGCCAUGCCGCGUGAAUGAUGAAGGUCUUAGGAUUGUAAAAUUCUUUCACCGGGGACGAUAAUGACGGUACCCGGAGAAGAAGCCCCGGCUAACUUCGUGCCAGCAGCCGCGGUAAUACGAAGGGGGCUAGCGUUGCCCGGAAUUACUGGGCUUAAAGGGAGCGUAGGCGGAUAGUUUAGUCAGAGGUGAAAGCCCAGGGCUCAACCUUGGAAUUGCCUGUGAUACUGGCUAUCUUAAGUAUGGAAGAGGUAUGUGGAACUCCGAGUGUAGAGGUGAAAGUCGUAGAUAUUCGGAAGAACACCAGUGGCGAAGGCGACAUACUGGUCCAUUACUGACGCUGAGGCUCGAAAGCGUGGGGAGCAAACAGGAUUAGAAACCCCGGUAGUCC
rnacentral:rRNA from 1 species